UACGGAGGGUGCAAGCGUUGUUCGGAAUUAUUGGGCGUAAAGCGCGCGCAGGCGGCCUGGAAAGUCUAUGGGUGAAAUACCGGGGCUCAACCCCGCGUAUGCCCAGGAUACUGUCAGGCUAGAGACACGUAGAGGCAAGCGGAAUUCCGGGUGUAGCGGUGGAAUGCGUAGAGAUCCGGAAGAACACCGGAGGCGAAGGCGGCUUGCUGGGCGUGAUCUGACGCUGAGGCGCGAAAGCGUGGGGAGCGAACAGG
rnacentral:rRNA from 1 species